AUGGACAUGACCGGCUCCGACCAGCAGCGGAGCUCCCCGUCCUCGCCGUCGUCCUCCUCGCACCUGAAGCGUCCUGCCGGGCGUACCAAGUUCAAGGAGACGCGCCACCCGGUGUACCGCGGCGUGCGGCGCCGCGGCAGCGCCGGCCGGUGGGUGUGCGAGGUGCGCGUCCCCGGCAAGCGCGGCGAGCGGCUCUGGCUCGGCACGCACCUCACUGCCGAGGCGGCCGCGCGAGCGCACGACGCCGCCAUGCUCGGCCUGAUCGGCCCCUCCACCCCGUGUCUCAACUUCGUCGACUCCGCUUGGCUCCUCGCCGUGCCGUCCGCGCUCUCCGACUUUGCAGACGUCCGGCGCGCGGCUCUCAGCGCUGUCGCGGACUUCCAACGCCGGGAGGCCACCAGCGGCGCCGCCACCACGUCCCUGGCCGCCACCGUCCCCGUCGAUGACGGAAGCUGUAGCCAAUCCGCGCAGUCGUCCAUGGAAAAUACCGGCUCGUCGUGGACGUCGUCCCUACCUUCUGGCGACGGAAUGUUUGCGGUGCCGGCCACACUGGGCUGCAACAUGUUCGAGCUGGAUAUGUCCGGGGAAAUGGACCUGGACACAUACUAUGCGUACUUCGCGGAGGGGCUUCUCCUCGAGCCGCCGCAACCGCCGGUCGCCGGCGCGUGCUGGGACACCGAAGGCGGCGGAGCAGACGCCGCGCUCUGGAGCUACUAA
rnacentral:rRNA from 1 species